rnacentral:rRNA from 1 species
UACGAAGGGGGCUAGCGUUGCUCGGAAUUACUGGGCGUAAAGCGCACGUAGGCGGUCUUUUAAGUCGGUGGUGAAAUCCUGGAGCUCAACUCCAGAACUGCCUUCGAUACUGGAAGACUUGAGUCCGGGAGAGGUGAGUGGAACUGCGAGUGUAGAGGUGAAAUUCGUAGAUAUUCGCAAGAUCACCAGUGGCGAAGGCGGCUCACUGGCCCGAUACUGACGCUGAGGCACGAAAGCGUGGGGAGCAAACAGG